rnacentral:rRNA from 1 species
GGGAAUCUGCCCUUGGGUUCGGAAUAACAGUUAGAAAUGACUGCUAAUACCGGAUGAUGUCUUCGGACCAAAGAUUUAUCGCCCAGGGAUGAGCCCGCGUAGGAUUAGGUAGUUGGUGGGGUAAGAGCCUACCAAGCCGACGAUCCUUAGCUGGUCUGAGAGGAUGAUCAGCCACACUGGGACUGAGACACGGCCCAGACUCCUACGGGAGGCAGCAGUGGGGAAUAUUGGACAAUGGGCGAAAGCCUGAUCCAGCAAUGCCGCGUGAGUGAUGAAGGCCUUAGGGUUGUAAGGCUCUUUUACCCGGGAUGAUAAUGACAGUACCGGGAGAAUAAGCUCCGGCUAACUUCGUGCCAGCAGCCGCGGUAAUACGAGGGGAGCUAGCGUUAUUCGGAAUUACUGGGCGUAAAGCGCACGUAGGCGGCUUUGUAAGUAAGGGGUGAAAGCCCAGAGCUCAACUCUGGAAUAGCCUUUUAGACUGCAUCGCUUGAAUCCAGGAGAGGUGAGUGGAAUUCCGAGU